rnacentral:tRNA from 1 species
GGCUUUAUAGUGUAGUGGUUAUCACAUUGGAUUUUGAUUCCAGUAACCCAGGUUCGAACCCUGGUAAGGCCU